rnacentral:rRNA from 1 species
GAUGAACGCUGGCGGCGUGCCUAAUACAUGCAAGUCGAGCGAACAGAUAAGGAGCUUGCUCCUUUGCAGUUAGCGGCGGACGGGUGAGUAACACGUGGGUAACCUACCUAUAUGACUGGGAUAACUUCGUGAGACCGGAUCUAAUACCGGAUCACAUUUAGAACCGCAUGGUUCUAAAGUGAUAGAUGGUUUUGCUAUCACUUAUAGAUGGACCCGCGUCGUAUUAGCUAGUUGGUAAGGUAACGGCUUACCAAGGCGACGAUACGUAGCCGACCUGAGAGGAUGAUCGGCCACACUGGAACUGAGACACGGUCCAGACUCCUACGGGAGGCAGCAGUAGGGAAUAUUCCGCAAUGGGCGAAAGCCUGAUGGAGCAACGCCGCGUGAGUGAUGAAGGGUUUCGGCUCGUAAAACUCUGUUAUUAGGGAAGAACAAAUGUGUAAGUAACUGUGCACAUCUUGACGGUACCUAAUCAGAAAGCCACGGCUAACUACGUG